rnacentral:rRNA from 1 species
UGGGGAAUUUUCCGCAAUGGGCGCAAGCCUGACGGAGCAAUACCGCGUGAGGGAGGAAGGCUCUUGGGUCGUAAACCUCUUUUGUCAGGGAAGAACACAAUGACGGUACCUGAGGAAUAAGCAUCGGCUAACUCCGUGCCAGCAGCCGCGGUAAUACGGAGGAUGCAAGCGUUAUCCGGAAUGAUUGGGCGUAAAGCGUCCGUAGGUGGUUUUGUAAGUCUGUGGUUAAAGCGUGGAGCUCAACUCCAUAAGGGCCAUGGAAACUACAAGACUAGAGUGAAGUAGGGGUAGAGGGAAUUCCCAGUGUAGCGGUGAAAUGCGUAGAGAUUGGGAAGAACACCGGUGGCGAAAGCGCUCUACUGGACUUANACUGACACUGAGGGACGAAAGCUAGGGGAGCGAAAGGGAUUAGAUACCCCUGUAGUC